AAUGAACGCUGGCGGCGUGCCUAAUACAUGCAAGUCGAGCGGAGCGGGGACGGGUGAGUAACACGUGGGUAACCUCCUAUAAGACUGGGAUAACUUCGGGAAACCGGAGCUAAACCGGAUACUUAUCGAUGGAUCCGAGCUGCAUUAGCUAGUAGGGACGGUAACGGCUUACCAAGGCAACGAUGCCUAGCCGACCUGAGAGGGUGAUCGGCCACACUGGAACUGAGACACGGACCAGACUCCUACGGGAGGCAGCAGUAGGGAAUCUUGCGCAAUGGGCGAAAGCCUGACGGAGCAACGCCGCGUGAGUGAUGAAGGCCUUCGGAUCGUAAAGCUCUGUUAUUAGGGAAGCGGUACCUAAUCAGAAAGCCACGGCUAACUACGUGCCAGCAGCCGCGGUAAUAC
rnacentral:rRNA from 1 species